AAAGCAAAAUGGUAGUACCCCGCCUGGGAAUUAUGGUCGCAAGGCUAAACCUCAAAGGAAUUGACGGGGGCUCACACAAAGGGUGGAGCAUGUGGCUUAAUUCCGAGCUACGCGAAGAAACUUAUCCUAGACUUGACAUGCAGGGGACCGUGGCGGAAACGUCACCUUCCCGCAAGGGACCGCUGCACAGGUGCUGCAUGGCUGGCGUCAGCUCGUGUCGUGAGAUGCCGGGUUAAGUCCCAUAACGAGCGAAACCCCUGCUGUUAGUUGCAACCGCGAGGGCACUCUAACAGGACCGCCGGUGUGAAACCGGAGGAAGGUGGGGACGACGUCAAGUCAUCAUGGCCCUUACGUCUAGGGCUGCACACGUGCUACAAUGGUGUGAACAAAGGGAAGCGAAGACGCGAGUCGGAGCCAAGCCCAAAAAACACACCCCAGUUCAGAUUGAAGGCUGCAACUCGCCUUCAUGAAGUCGGAAUCGCUAGUACUCGCGUGUCAGCAACAACGCGGGGAAUGUGUUCCUGAGCCUUGUACACACCGCCCGUCAAGCCACGAAAGGGGAGGACAUCCGAAGUCGCACUCCGGUGUGCCGAAGAUGGACUCCCUGAUUGGGACUAAGUCGUAACAAGGUAA
rnacentral:rRNA from 1 species